CUGUUUCAAUAUUAGAGUUGAGAGUCUAUACCACAGUAAGAGAACAAGGAAGUUCCAUUUACUUUCCAGAGGUAAUAUUUGUAAACUCAAAGACAUUAAAAAGAGAAAAAUGGCUGAGAUGCUAUAUUCAUCCUAAUAGUGUUUAUGUAAGUCUGGUGAAACACAUUUACCUUUAAGAGCCACAUAAAUGCUUUGCAAAUAUCUGUAAAGUUCAGGAGAAAGCCUCAAAGCCCUCGUUAUUUUUGUGACAGUGAUAGGUGAAUGAUAAACCCCUUUGCUAUGUAAGGAACUUUGAAGCAAGAAUAAAGUCUCAACCUUUAGAAAAUUAACCUUUGCAGACAUUCUUUGCUGUCACUAAUAUGUAGGUUAUCACAUUGGCCAAAUUUCUCCUCAAGGUAUGGCAGUCCCACAUUUUCACUGCUCAGCUUGUUCAGUACUGUCUAAUUAACAGCUAUUCCUCUCUUUUCAGGUCUUUUCUUACUUGAAUGUUAGUUUCUAUAGCAGAGUCCCAGAUAGUCAGCGACCCUGCAGCAAUGAUCAAGAAAAGGGCUCCAACAGCUGGUGUGAACAUUCUGAAGCCAAUUAGCUCAUGGUUCAUUCCUCUCCCAUCCUCCAUCACAGCAAAUGAAGACUGCCUCCUCUUGCCUUUAUCCUAUAGUCCUGGUCAUGCUUCUUGUCUUUUAGGACAUACAAACCACUAUUUCCUUUUUGUUCUGCCUUUAAACUUGGGGAGGGGAGAGUAGAGAAAUAAGGUGGGGGUGCGAGAGCCUCUUUUUUAUUUGUUGUUGUUGUUGUUUACAGGUACAUAAAUGAUAUAUGAAGGUUCAUUUUAAAAAUCUGAACAAAAAAGAAGUGUAUACUAUGAAUAUUAAAUGUUCUCUUCUACUUUGACCUACACCCUAUUCCAUAUCCUUCCCUUCCCUAAAACUAGCCCCUUUAACAUGAAGUACGUUGUUCUGAUACUUCUUUAUACUUCUUCUUGAUGCUAAGACAUCCUUUUUCUAGGCAUUUGCAUAUCUAUUACUGGAAAUGACACGUUAAAAUGAAAUUUUCUAGGUCUUAACAUUUUAACUGAAGACUCAGUCUUAAUUAUCUCAAAGCCAAGAAAAUGGGGUGCCAAUUAAGGGCAAAUUAUAAGUUAAACUUUUAAACCAUUUGCAAAGAGGGUGGCUACGUCUAGCUCAACGACUGGCUUGUCCUCAGUUACAUGACAGGUUAUACCCUCUUUUUUCUCAAAAAAAAGAACAUAGAAAUCACGUCACAGCAUACUAAAUAUCCCUUUAAAGAAAUUCAUAUUCUCCAAUUCCUUUAGAAACCUAAUGGAUUCUACCAUUCUUUUAUAUAUUUGGAGGUAAAUAAUAGGCAAAACUUGGGAUAAGCAGUUGUAGAACUUGGCCUUUUGGAGUCUGAGAAUAUGGUCUGAUAAAAACUUGAAAUCUCCACCGGGCAUGGUGGCUCACGCCCAUAAUCCCAGCACUUUGGGAGUCUGAGGCAGCCAGGUCGCCUGAGGUCAGGAGUUCCAGACAAGCCUGGCCAACAUGGUGAAACCUGUCUCAACU
rnacentral:lncRNA from 1 species